rnacentral:rRNA from 1 species
GGAUCGCAAGACCUUGCGCUUUUAGAGCGGCCGAUGUCUGAUUAGCUAGUUGGUGAGGUAAAGGCUUACCAAGGCUUCGAUCAGUAGCUGGUCUGAGAGGACGACCAGCCACACUGGGACUGAGACACGGCCCAGACUCCUACGGGAGGCAGCAGUGGGGAAUUUUGGACAAUGGGGGAAACCCUGAUCCAGCCAUGCCGCGUGAGUGAAGAAGGCCUUCGGGUUGUAAAGCUCUUUCAGCCGGAACGAAACGGUCACGGCUAAUACCUGUGAUCACUGACGGUACCGGAAGAAGAAGCACCGGCUAACUACGUGCCAGCAGCCGCGGUAAUACGUAGGGUGCGAGCGUUAAUCGGAAUUACUGGGCGUAAAGCGUGCGCAGGCGGU